rnacentral:rRNA from 1 species
UACGUAGGUGGCGAGCGUUGUCCGGAUUUACUGGGCGUAAAGGGAGCGUAGGCGGACUUUUAAGUGAGAUGUGAAAUACUCGGGCUCAACUUGAGUGCUGCAUUUCAAACUGGAAGUCUAGAGUGCAGGAGAGGAGAAUGGAAUUCCUAGUGUAGCGGUGAAAUGCGUAGAGAUUAGGAAGAACACCAGUGGCGAAGGCGAUUCUCUGGACUGUAACCGACGCUGAGGCUCGAAAGCGUGGGGAGCAAACAGG